AGUCGGGAAUUUUGGGCAAUGGGCGAAAGCCUGACCCAGCAACGCCGCGUGAAGGAUGAAAUCCCUCGGGAUGUAAACUUCGCAAGAACGGGAAGAAUAAGUCGGUGCUAACACCACCGGCGAUGACGGUACCGUUUGUAAGCUCCGGCUAACUCCGUGCCAGCAGCCGCGGUAAUACGGGGGGAGCAAGCGUUGUUCGGAUUUACUGGGCGUAAAGGGCGCGUAGGCGGCCACCGCAAGUCAAUUGUGAAAUCUCCGGGCUUAACUCGGAAAGGUCAACUGAUACUGCGGGGCUAGAGUGCAGAAGGGGCAACUGGAAUUCUCGGUGUAGCGGUGAAAUGCGUAGAUAUCGAGAGGAACACCUGCGGCGAAGGCGGGUUGCUGGGCCGACACUGACGCUGAUGCGCGAAAGCCAGGGGAGCGAA
rnacentral:rRNA from 1 species